UUCUGAGUGUUGGGAUUAAAGGCAUGUACCAUUGAAGGACUCCCGAAGAGAGACCCUCACUCAAGUCUCGGGAAUAGCGCGCACCCAGCGAGACACUGAGACCG
rnacentral:pre_miRNA from 7 species